GACGAACGCUGGCGGCGUGCCUAACACAUGCAAGUCGAGCGGGGUUGAGGCGAGAGGUAACUCGAACUUCUACCUAGCGGCGGACGGGUGAGUAACGCGUGGGCAACCUGCCUCAAGGUUUGGGAUAACAGCCCGAAAGGGCUGCUAAUACCGGAUAUGCCUAUGGCCUCGCAUGGGGCUAUGAGCAAAGGGGAAACCCGCCUUGAGAUGGGCCCGCGUCCCAUCAGCUAGUUGGUGAGGUAACAGCUCACCAAGGCGACGACGGGUAGCCGGCCUGAGAGGGUGACCGGCCACACUGGGACUGAGACACGGCCCAGACUCCUACGGGGGGCAGCAGUGGGGGAUCUUGCACAAUGGGCGAAAGCCUGAUGCAGCGACGCCGCGUGAGCGAAGAAGGCCUCGGUUGUAAAGCUCUGUCUGGAGGGACGGAACAAAAUGACGGUACCUCCGGACGGAAGCCACGGCUAACUACGUGCCAGCAGCCGCCGGUAAAAGUCAACGUCG
rnacentral:rRNA from 1 species